GGGGUGGGGGUGUAGUUGUGUAUAGUAUUGAGCGGUGACAUAUAUAGAGACAUCCAACAAUAAACCACGGUUGUGAGUGAGAUACAACAGAGUUGGCAUAUGGCCAUGGCCACCCUUUUCCGGGUUCUUCUUCUCAUCCUCAUCUUUUCAGAUUCAUUUGUUAGCAUCCGCAGCCUCGGAUUAGGAAUUAAUUAUGGCCAGAUUGCCAACAAUCUCCCAUCACCGUCACGUGUUGCAUAUCUACUCGGAUCUCUCAACAUAAGCAGAGUAAAACUUUAUGAUGCUGAUCCAAAUGUGUUAUCAGCAUUCGCCAAUACUGAUGUUGAAUUUGUUAUCGGACUUGGAAAUGAGUAUCUGCAAAAGAUGACUGAUCCAAUUCAAGCACAAGGGUGGAUUCAACAGCACGUGCGACCUUACAUAUCUCAAACCAAGAUCAAGUGCAUCACUGUCGGAAAUGAGGUUCUCACAGGCAAUAAUACUCAGUUAAUGUCAUAUCUUCUCCCGGCAAUGCAGACUGUGAAUGGGGCUCUUGCAAAUCUUGGCUUAAGCAAGGAGAUAUACGUGACCACUGCUCAUUCAUUUGGAAUCUUAGGUAACUCUUUUCCACCUUCUGCGGGUGCGUUCCGACAAGAUCUUACUGAGUACAUCCAGAGUAUUCUCAAUUUCCAUUCACAGACUCACUCGCCAUUCCUUAUAAAUGCUUAUCCUUUCUUCGCGUAUAAGGAUAAUCCACAGCAGAUAUCAUUGAACUAUGCACUUUUCCAGCCUGAUCCUGGUAUGACGGAUUCAGUGACAAAUUUGCAUUAUGAUAACAUGUUAUACGCACAAAUUGAUGCUGUUUAUUCAGCAAUCAAAGCACUGGGACAUACAGAUAUACAAGUUAAAGUUUCUGAGACAGGUUGGCCGUCAAAAGGGGAUCCCGAUGAGGUAGGGGCUACACCAGAAAAUGCCAGAUUAUAUAAUGGUAAUUUGCUAAGACGAAUAGAGCAAAAUCAAGGGACUCCUGCAAGACCAUCAGUACCAGUUGAUAUCUAUGUUUUCGCACUUUUUAAUGAGGAUCUAAAGCCUGGUCCUGUGUCUGAGAGGAAUUAUGGAUUGUACUAUCCUGAUGGUUCUCCUGUGUAUAAUAUUGGAUUACAAGGUUAUCUUCCGCGCAUGGAUUAUUCAGCUUCGAAGAAAAAUGUCGACCGCAUCUUAAAUCUGUUCAUCAUUCCCAUAGCUUUAUUGAUAUAUUCUUUAUAGCUAAUAAUUUAUCUCAUAUGAUGGAAAAGGAAAAGAAAGUAUGGACACACAGUUAAUCCUUGAAAUUCCUCUAAGUCUGUUACCUGGGUUCUUUAUGGGGAAAAUUUGGGAGGUAAAGAUGACAAUCUGUUCCUAAAGGGCUGGAGAGAUUUUACCAUACAUGAAUAGGAGAACUGUAUACUUAGUGAUUGAGAUACAUUUUCAUUGAGUAGAAUUAUUCAUUCACAGAAGCUGAAAAUAAAGAGUCCUUGUAGCCAACCGGUGAUUCUCACCUGCACAGAUAACCUUAUUUUGAGGAUAUAUACAGAAUUUGAUUAUAUACUAUAUGUCUGAAUCCCGAUGGUUGUCUGUUCAUUUUUUCGAGCUGUUGACUCCGACGGAUACAAGAAAUUGACCCUGUAAACUACCCUUGUUCUGUAUUUGAGUGGAAUUUCAGGUGAUCUUGCAAUUCAUUUUGUCAUACUGAGAUCAGAUUUUGGUGGAAAAUCAGGAGAAUCUUUUGACCGGAGAAUUCUUAGGGCGGAUGUGUGAAUGUGCGGGGGGCAGACACGGGAAGUAGCAACGUCGUACACGUUUACUCCUCUUGCACGUUCGGUUCUUGCUUGUGUUUUUUAUGCUGACUGACGUUGCUUGUAGGAAGAUUCAAAUUUUGAGUCGGUGUCAGCACACAAUCUUUGUCUUUUCUUUUUCCUUUCUUCUACAUUUACAAACUGCCAGUAGGUAGGCAUCAAUAACAAAGUUGAUUUUUUCAUUCUGCUA